rnacentral:rRNA from 1 species
AUCGAACGCUGGCGGCAGGCUUAACACAUGCAAGUCGAGCGAGCGGCGGACGGGUGAGAAAUGUUUGGGAAACUGCCUGCUUUAGGGGGAAAACUACUGGAAACGGUAGUUAAUACCGCAUACCAUCAGAUGUGUCCAGGUGGGAUUAGCUUGUAGGUGGGGUAAUGGCUCACUUAGGCGACGAUCCCUAGCUGGUCUGAGGGGAUGACCAGCGGCCCUGGAACUGAGACACGGUCCAGACUCCUACGGGAGGCAGCAGUGGGGAAGUUUGCGCAAUGGGCGCAAGCCUGAUGCAGCCAUGCCGCGUGUGUGAAGGAGGCCUGCGGGUUGUAAAGCACUUUCAGCGAGGAGGCGUUACUCGCAGAAGAAGCACCGGCUAACUCCGUGCCAGCAGCCGCGGUAAUAC